UUGAAGCUACAUUUUUAAACAAAAAAAGACAGAAACAUGAAGCACAACUCUCUAUUCUGUCGAACGGCGUGUGCAACUCACGCACACCCAAAAAUAUGAAAUAUAACAUUCGCACCAACAAAGCGCGAAUAUCAAUGAAUCUCGAGGGAACGAUGGCUGCCUGCCGGCGCGUGUUGCUCUUCUGUCAUUGGGAUAACUGGCGGGUCUGUUGGGUCCGUCCUUUAGACCAUUUGACUACACUGCCCUGCAUAUGUGUGAAACGUC
ensembl:ncRNA F38B6.19 ncRNA